UUAAGCGACUAAGCGUACACGGUGGAUGCCCUGGCAGUCAGAGGCGAUGAAGGACGUGCUAAUCUGCGAUAAGCGUCGGUAAGGUGAUAUGAACCGUUAUAACCGGCGAUUUCCGAAUGGGGAAACCCAGUGUGAUUCGUCACACUAUCAUUAACUGAAUCCAUAGGUUAAUGAGGCGAACCGGGGGAACUGAAACAUCUAAGUACCCCGAGGAAAAGAAAUCAACCGAGAUUCCCCCAGUAGCGGCGAGCGAACGGGGAGCAGCCCAGAGCCUGAAUCAGUGUGUGUGUUAGUGGAAGCGUCUGGAAAGGCGCGCGAUACAGGGUGACAGCCCCGUACACAAAAAUGCACAUGCUGUGAGCUCGAUGAGUAGGGCGGGACACGUGGUAUCCUGUCUGAAUAUGGGGGGACCAUCCUCCAAGGCUAAAUACUCCUGACUGACCGAUAGUGAACCAGUACCGUGAGGGAAAGGCGAAAGAACCCCGGCGAGGGGAGUGAAAAAGAACCUGAAACCGUGUACGUACAAGCAGUGGGAGCACAGAGCAAUCUGUGUGACUGCGUACCUUUUGUAUAAUGGGUCAGCGACUUAUAUUCUGUAGCAAGGUUAACCGAAUAGGGGAGCCGAAGGGAAACCGAGUCUUAACUGGGCGUUAAGUUGCAGGGUAUAGACCCGAAACCCGGUGAUCUAGCCAUGGGCAGGUUGAAGGUUGGGUAACACUAACUGGAGGACCGAACCGACUAAUGUUGAAAAAUUAGCGGAUGACUUGUGGCUGGGGGUGAAAGGCCAAUCAAACCGGGAGAUAGCUGGUUCUCCCCGAAAGCUAUUUAGGUAGCGCCUCGUGAAUUCAUCUCCGGGGGUAGAGCACUGUUUCGGCAAGGGGGUCAUCCCGACUUACCAACCCGAUGCAAACUGCGAAUACCGGAGAAUGUUAUCACGGGAGACACACGGCGGGUGCUAACGUCCGUCGUGAAGAGGGAAACAACCCAGACCGCCAGCUAAGGUCCCAAAGUCAUGGUUAAGUGGGAAACGAUGUGGGAAGGCCCAGACAGCCAGGAUGUUGGCUUAGAAGCAGCCAUCAUUUAAAGAAAGCGUAAUAGCUCACUGGUCGAGUCGGCCUGCGCGGAAGAUGUAACGGGGCUAAACCAUGCACCGAAGCUGCGGCAGCGACGCUGAUGCGUUGUUGGGUAGGGGAGCGUUCUGUAAGCCUGCGAAGGUGUGCUGUGAGGCAUGCUGGAGGUAUCAGAAGUGCGAAUGCUGACAUAAGUAACGAUAAAGCGGGUGAAAAGCCCUCUCGCCGGAAGACCAAGGGUUCCUGUCCAACGUUAAUCGGGGCAGGGUGAGUCGACCCCUAAGGCGAGGCCGAAAGGCGUAGUCGAUGGGAAACAGGUUAAUAUUCCUGUACUUGGUGUUACUGCGAAGGGGGACGGAGAAGGCUAUGUUGGCCGGGCGACGGUUGUCCCGGUUUAAGCGUGUAGGCUGGUUUUCCAGGCAAAUCCGGAAAAUCAAGGCUGAGGCGUGAUGACGAGGCACUACGGUGCUGAAGCAACAAAUGCCCUGCUUCCAGGAAAAGCCUCUAAGCAUCAGGUAACAUCAAAUCGUACCCCAAACCGACACAGGUGGUCAGGUAGAGAAUACCAAGGCGCUUGAGAGAACUCGGGUGAAGGAACUAGGCAAAAUGGUGCCGUAACUUCGGGAGAAGGCACGCUGAUAUGUAGGUGAAGUCCCUCGCGGAUGGAGCUGAAAUCAGUCGAAGAUACCAGCUGGCUGCAACUGUUUAUUAAAAACACAGCACUGUGCAAACACGAAAGUGGACGUAUACGGUGUGACGCCUGCCCGGUGCCGGAAGGUUAAUUGAUGGGGUCAGCGCAAGCGAAGCUCUUGAUCGAAGCCCCGGUAAACGGCGGCCGUAACUAUAACGGUCCUAAGGUAGCGAAAUUCCUUGUCGGGUAAGUUCCGACCUGCACGAAUGGCGUAAUGAUGGCCAGGCUGUCUCCACCCGAGACUCAGUGAAAUUGAACUCGCUGUGAAGAUGCAGUGUACCCGCGGCAAGACGGAAAGACCCCGUGAACCUUUACUAUAGCUUGACACUGAACAUUGAGCCUUGAUGUGUAGGAUAGGUGGGAGGCUUUGAAGUGUGGACGCCAGUCUGCAUGGAGCCGGCCUUGAAAUACCACCCUUUAAUGUUUGAUGUUCUAACGUUGACCCGUAAUCCGGGUUGCGGACAGUGUCUGGUGGGUAGUUUGACUGGGGCGGUCUCCUCCUAAAGAGUAACGGAGGAGCACGAAGGUUGGCUAAUCCUGGUCGGACAUCAGGAGGUUAGUGCAAUGGCAUAAGCCAGCUUGACUGCGAGCGUGACGGCGCGAGCAGGUGCGAAAGCAGGUCAUAGUGAUCCGGUGGUUCUGAAUGGAAGGGCCAUCGCUCAACGGAUAAAAGGUACUCCGGGGAUAACAGGCUGAUACCGCCCAAGAGUUCAUAUCGACGGCGGUGUUUGGCACCUCGAUGUCGGCUCAUCACAUCCUGGGGCUGAAGUAGGUCCCAAGGGUAUGGCUGUUCGCCAUUUAAAGUGGUACGCGAGCUGGGUUUAGAACGUCGUGAGACAGUUCGGUCCCUAUCUGCCGUGGGCGCUGGAGAACUGAGGGGGGCUGCUCCUAGUACGAGAGGACCGGAGUGGACGCAUCACUGGUGUUCGGGUUGUCAUGCCAAUGGCACUGCCCGGUAGCUAAAUGCGGAAGAGAUAAGUGCUGAAAGCAUCUAAGCACGAAACUUGCCCCGAGAUGAGUUCUCCCUGACUCCUUGAGAGUCCUGAAGGAACGUUGAAGACGACGACGUUGAUAGGCCGGGUGUGUAAGCGCAGCGAUGCGUUGAGCUAACCGGUACUAAUGAACCGUGAGGCUUAACCUU
rnacentral:rRNA from 1 species